CCUACGGGAGGCAGCAGUGGGGAAUAUUGGACAAUGGGGGAAACCCUGAUCCAGCCAUGCCGCGUGUGUGAAGAAGGCCCUCGGGUUGUAAAGCACUUUCAGUGAGGAAGAACGCCUGGUGGUUAAUACCCAUCAGGAAAGACAUCACUCACAGAAGAAGCACCGGCUAACUCCGUGCCAGCAGCCGCGGUAAUACGGAGGGUGCGAGCGUUAAUCGGAAUUACUGGGCGUAAAGCGCGCGUAGGUGGCUUGAUAAGCCGGUUGUGAAAGCCCCGGGCUCAACCUGGGAACGGCAUCCGGAACUGUCAAGCUAGAGUGCAGGAGAGGAAGGUAGAAUUCCCGGUGUAGCGGUGAAAUGCGUAGAGAUCGGGAGGAAUACCAGUGGCGAAGGCGGCCUUCUGGACUGACACUGACACUGAGGUGCGAAAGCGUGGGUAGCAAACAGGAUUAGAUACCCCUGUAGUC
rnacentral:rRNA from 1 species